ensembl:misc_RNA Metazoa_SRP Metazoan signal recognition particle RNA
GCCGGGCGCAGUGGCGUGCGCCUGUAAUCCAAGUUGCUGGGAGGCUUAGGCUGGCGGAUCGUUUGAGCUCAGGAGUUCUGAGCUCCAGUGGACUAUGCCGAUCGGGUGUCCGCACUAAGUUCGGUAUCGAUAUGGUGCUCCUGGGGGAGCCCGGGACCACCAGGUCGUCUAAGGAGGGGUGCACCGGCCCAGGUCGGAAACGGAGCAGGCCAAAGCCCCCGUGCCGCUCAGUAGUGGGAUCGCGCCUGUGAAUAGACGCUGUGGUGCAGCCUGAGCAAUAUAGCGGGACACAGUCUUUU